rnacentral:lncRNA from 1 species
UGGCAACCGUAAUUCCAACUGCAACCUUCAUUGUCCUGUGUCAUAGCAUAUUCACAGGCUCUAGGGACUAGGUUGUGACAUCUUCAAGGGGCCAUUAUUCCACCUCCCACACCUUCCCAACCCUGGCUGUGCUGGCCCUGACUGAGAGGAGGGGGUUUCCACUUCCGUCACCUGGCAAGGGAACCUCCACAGCCCAAGAAUAUUAACAUUUAUCAGGUGCCGGGCAUGGGCCUCAUGUGUUUUAUGUAAUUCAAUCCUCCCAACAAAAGUAUGAGAGCCAGCCCUGCAGCACAGCCUUCAACAUGAGCAACUCCUGCUCUCUGUAGCUCCAGCCCCAGCCUGGACCUAUCUUUCAGAGCCAUAAUGCUGAGACAGUCCCUGAGUCUUGGAUGAACACAGGACUCACAGUGUCUACACCGGACAGUUUCUGUUUGCACGACGUUGAGUAAACUUCACAUCCAUCGGGGAAGUUACCCUUUGGGAUUACUGAUGAAGGUGAGGAGAAGAUGCUGUUCUGAGAGCUGCUGAUAAUACGUGGAUCCAAACCCACAGGCUUGAGCUGCUUAAUUGAAAUUCACGUCAAAAUGAAAUUCUGGUUUAGCUCAACUUGACUACUAUGGAUGAUGAAAAUAAAUCCCUGGGUCACACAAGGAUAGUGAUUGAGUAGAGCUUGUUUGCUGGCACAGGAAUGACAUUUCAACUGGAAUUAAAUUGUCGUCAGUUAACAGAACUGAAUUUUCAGUCAUUCUUUGACUUGAAUUUUCUUUUUUCCCAAGAUAACAUGGACAGGACCCAGGUUGAGUAAUUGAAUUAAAUCCUGUCAUUCUCAAACAAAGAAUCAUGAAACAGAGAAGGUGGGUAAGUCACUCAACCCUGGGAUUUUGAGAGAAGUGGUCAC